rnacentral:rRNA from 1 species
AGCGAACGCUGGCGGCAGGCCUAACACAUGCAAGUCGAACGAAGUCUUCGGACUUAGUGGCGGACGGGUGAGUAACACGUGGGAACGGGCCUUUAGGUUCGGAAUAACUCAGGGAAACUCGUGCUACUACCGAAUGUGCCCUUCGGGGGAAAGAUUUAUCGCCUUUAGAGCGGCCCGCGUCUGAUUGGCUAGUUGGUGAGGUAAAGGCUCACCAAGGCGACGAUCAGUAGCUGGUCUGAGAGGAUGAUCAGCCACAUUGGGACUGAGACACGGCCCAAACUCCUACGGGAGGCAGCAGUGGGGAAUCUUGCGCAAUGGGCGAAAGCCUGACGCAGCCAUGCCGCGUGAAUGAAGAAGGUCUUAGGAUUGUAAAAUUCUUUCACCGGGGACGAUAAUGACGGUACCCGGAGAAGAAGCCCCGGCUAACUUCGUGCCAGCCGCCGCCGUAAUAC